rnacentral:misc_RNA from 1 species
GAAAUGCGAUAAGUAAUGUGAAUUGCAGAAUUCAGUGAAUCAUCGAAUCUUUGAACGCACCUUGCGCUCCUUGGUAUUCCUUGGAGCAUGCCUGUUUGAGUAUCAUGAAAUCUUCAAAGUAAAUCUUUUGUUAACUCAAUUGGUUUCUACUUUGGUAUUGGAGGUCUUUGCAGCUUCACACCUGCUCCUCUUUGUUCAUUAGCUGGAUCUCAGUGUUAUGCUUGGUUCCACUCGGCGUGAUAAGUUAUCUAUCGCUGAGGACACUGUAAAAGGUGGUCAAGGUAAAUGCAGAUGAACCGCUUCUAAUAGUCCAUUGACUUGGACAAUACUUUUAUGAUCUGAUCUCAAAUCAGGUAGGACUACCCGCUGAACUUAAGA